GAAGCGUAAUUCUUGCCCUCGGAUCCGUUCGACAAAGCACAAUGUCAGGACGAGUUGUUACAGACGAGGUCAUCGCAAAACAUGAAAAGAGACUCCGACAAUGUGAGGCCACUGCACAGCUGGAAAGAGCGGCAGUUCGGAAAGCUGAAGCAGCUGCAGAAGAUGCCGCAGAGAGGGCGAGACAAGUGAAGCAGGAUAUUCAGGAGAUGAUACGGAUGAAAGAGAGAGAGUUCCGGAAACAGUGUACAGUGAUGUGAACGAUUCAUAUGCAUGAAGUGAUUCUGACUCUGUCUUUUUCGUCAGCGACGUUCUGAUUGCAUAUCUUGACUCACGGCAAUAUCUGCAAAUUUGGCAUCUUGUUUAUGUGCCGCCUUUAUAGUAGAAACCUUGCGUUCCGGCUUCAGCAGUUCAGUGUGGCAGUGGUGUACAACCAUCAUGAGGAAAUUGGUCGCCUGCGCCUCAUAACGGGUGUCUUGCUCCGACAUGUGCUACCACAGUGCCAUAUGGAGCAGCAGCAGCGAUGCGAUCUAUAAGCAUGCUACACGUUCUGUUACACCUUGUGGAAUGGAAUUCCUAGGAUUUUUGGAAGUGCAUAUACCACGAGGUGGACUAUUGGUGUAGUUAAGCGUGAACAGGCGGCAUCAUGUCUACACAACUUGUUCCCCAACGACGAUUCCUCAAGGGUCUGCCGCCAGGAAGAUAUGCUUUCCCCGCAUCCUCACUGACCCCCCAAAAUAAUCACUGCUUCAGAAGGGUUCCUUCUAGAGGCUCCUCCACGUACAUCUUAUUGGGCGAGUGCUGCCAUCAGACACGAGGGCGCAAAUAUUUCCGUAUUGCCG
rnacentral:lncRNA from 1 species